rnacentral:ncRNA from 2 species
CUACUAACUGAAGCCGACGGUUCCCGAGGCCAAGCCGGAGGGAAUAAUAGGGAACACGGUGAGGAUGACCCGAAUGGGGCCGAAACCGUGGCUGCCCCCGCAACUGUAAGCGGUGAGGUUCUGCCAUCCGGGCCACUGGUCGAAAGACCGGGAAGGCCGGCAACACCUUCGACCCGCGAGCCAGGAGACCUGCCGUCAUCUGACGUAGCAA